rnacentral:rRNA from 1 species
CAUUAUUGAAUAAACCUGAUAGGCUGUUGCUGGCUUCUAGGAGCAUGUGCACGCCUGUCAUCUUUAUCCAUCCACCUGUGCACCUUUUGUAGUCUUGGAGUAAUGAGUGUAAAACCUAUCGAGGAACAACUUUGGUCCUCGGAUGGAGGCCUGCCAUGCGAUAGUGUGGCUGACCUUAUUACUUGCGCAAGUUCUCUGAGUCUAUGUUUUUCAUAUACCACGCAAAAUGUAAUAGAAUGUUUUUAUUGGGCCCUAGUGCCUAUAAAAUGAAAUACAACUUUCAGCAACGGAUCUCUUGGCUCUCGCAUCGAUGAAGAACGCAGCGAAAUGCGAUAAGUAAUGUGAAUUGCAGAAUUCAGUGAAUCAUCGAAUCUUUGAACGCACCUUGCGCUCCUUGGUAUUCCGAGGAGCAUGCCUGUUUGAGUGUCAUUUAAUUCUCAACCCCUCUAGCUUUUUGUGGCUGGCUUGGUGGCUUGGAUGUGGGGGAUUCUUGCGGGCCUCUUUAGAGGUCAGCUCCCCUGAAAUGCAUUAGUAGAACUGUUUGCGGAACUGUUCACUGGUGUGAUAAUUAUCAUCACCGAAGACAGCCGCUCUCAUGUAGUUCUGCUUCUAAUCGUCCUAUUUCAUGGACAAUAAUGUUUGAAUGCUUGACCUCAAAUCAGGUAGGACUACCCGCUGAACUUAAGCAUAUCAAUAAGCGGAGGAAAAGAAACUAACAAGGAUUCCCCUAGUAACUGCGAGUGAAGCGGGAAAAGCUCAAAUUUAAAAUCUGGCGGUCUUUGGCCGUCCGAGUUGUAAUCUAGAGAAGCGUCACCCGCGCUGGACCGUGUACAAGUCUCCUGGGAUGGAGCGUCAUAGAGGGUGAGAAUCCCGUCUCUGACACGGACUACCAGGGCUUUGUGGUGCGCUCUCAAAGAGUCGAGUUGUUUGGGAAUGCAGCUCUAAACGGGUGGUAAAUUCCAUCUAAAGCUAAAUAUUGGCGAGAGACCGAUAGCGAACAAGUACCGUGAGGGAAAGAUGAAAAGAACUUUGGAAAGAGAGUUAAACAGUACGUGAAAUUGCUGAAAGGGAAACGCUUGAAGUCAGUCGCGUUGGCCGGGGAUCAGCCUCGCUCUUGCGUGGUGUACUUCCUGGUUGACGGGUCAGCAUCAAUUUUGACCGCUGGAAAAAGAUUUAGGGAAUGUGGCAUCUUCGGAUGUGUUAUAGCCCUUUUUCAUAUACAGCGGUUGGGAUUGAGGAACUCAGCACGCCGCAAGGCCGGGUUUCGACCACGUUCGUGCUUAGGAUGCUGGCAUAAUGGCUUUAAUCGACCCGUCUUGAAACACGGACCAAGGAGUCUAACAUGCCUGCGAGUGUUUGGGUGGAAAACCCGAGCGCGUAAUGAAAGUGAAAGUUGAGAUCCCUGUCGCGGGGAGCAUCGACGCCCGGACCAGAACUUUUGGGACGGAUCUGCGGUAGAGCAUGUAUGUUGGGACCCGAAAGAUGGUGAACUAUGCCUGAAUAGGGUGAAGCCAGAGGAAACUCUGGUGGAGGCUCGUAGCGAUUCUGACGUGCAAAUCGAUCGUCAAAUUUGGGUAUAGGGGCGAAAGACUAAUCGAACCAUCUAG